rnacentral:rRNA from 1 species
AACGAACGCUGGCGGCGUGGAUAAGACAUGCAAGUCGUGCGGAGAUUUUCGGGUAGCAAUAUCUGGAAGUUUUAGCGGCGGAAGGGUGCGUAACGCGUGGGCAAUUUGCCCUGAAGCCCGGAAUAACGCCGAGAAAUCGGCGCUAAUGCCGGAUGUGAUUUCCGAGUGGCAUCACUUGGAUCUUAAAGCCGGGGACCGCAAGGCCUGGCACUUCUGGAUGAGCCCGCGACCUAUCAGCUAGUUGGUGAGGUAAAGGCUCACCAAGGCUAAGACGGGUAGCUGGUCUGAGAGGACGACCAGCCACACUGGAACUGAGACACGGUCCAGACACCUACGGGAGGCUG